AAUGGGCGAAAGCCUGACGGAGCAAGACCGCGUGGGGGAGGAAGGUUCUUGGAUUGUCAACCCCUUUUCUCAGGGAAGAACACAAUGACGGUACCUGAGGAAAAAGCAUCGGCUAACUCCGUGCCAGCAGCCGCGGUAAUACGGGGGAUGCAAGCGUUAUCCGGAAUGAUUGGGCGUAAAGAGUCCGUAGGUAGUCAUCCAAGUCUGCUGUUAAAGAGCGAGGCUUAACCUCGUAAAGGCAGUGGAAACUGGAAGACUAGAGUGUAGUAGGGGCAGAGGGAAUUCCUGGUGUAGCGGUGAAAUGCGUAGAGAUCAGGAAGAACACCGGUGGCGAAGGCGCUCUGCUGGGCUAUAACUGACACUGAGGGACGAAAGCUAGGGGAGCGAAUGGGAUUA
rnacentral:rRNA from 2 species